UACGUAGGGUGCGAGCGUUGUCCGGAAUUAUUGGGCGUAAAGCGCUUGUAGGCGGUUUGUCGCGUCUGCCGUGAAAAUCCGGGGCUCAACCCCGGACUUGCGGUGGGUACGGGCAGACUAGAGUGUGGUAGGGGAGACUGGAAUUCCUGGUGUAGCGGUGAAAUGCGCAGAUAUCAGGAGGAACACCGAUGGCGAAGGCAGGUCUCUGGGCCACUACUGACGCUGAGAAGCGAAAGCGUGGGGAGCGAGCCGG
rnacentral:rRNA from 1 species